rnacentral:rRNA from 1 species
GGACUACACGGGUAUCUAAUCCUGUUUGCUCCCCACGCUUUCGCGCCUCAGCGUCAGUGAUGGUCCAGUUGGCCGCCUUCGCCACCGGUGUUCUUGCGAAUAUCUACGAAUUUCACCUCUACACUCGCAGUUCCACCAACCUCUACCACACUCAAGCCAAGCAGUAUCGAAGGCAAUUCCGUGGUUGAGCCACGGGCUUUCACCCCCAACUUACAAGGCCGCCUACGCGCCCUUUACGCCCAGUGAUUCCGAGCAACGCUAGCCCCCUUCGUAUUACCGCGGCUGCUGGCAC